rnacentral:rRNA from 1 species
UGCCAGCCGCCGCGGUAAUACGGGGGGUGCAAGCGUUAUUCGGAAUUAUUGGGCGUAAAGAGCGCGUAGGCGGCCAGAUAAGUCAGAUGUGAAAGCCCGGGGCUCAACCCCGGAAGUGCAUUUGAAACUAUUUGGCUUGAGUAUGGGAGAGGGAAGUGGAAUUCCGGGUGUAGCGGUGAAAUGCGUAGAUAUCCGGAGGAACAUCAGUGGCGAAGGCGGCUUUCUGGACCAAAAUUGACGCUGAGGCACGAAAGCGUGGGUAGCAAACAGGAUUAGAUA